GCGAGAAACCUUUGCAAUGUGCGCAAGCACGACAAGGUUAAUCCGAGUGUUUCCUGCUAAAGGAAUCUUUUGUUAGUUCUAAAACCACUGAUGAAUAAGAGGUGGGCAAGUUCUGGUGUCAGCCGCCGCGGUAAAACCAGCACCUCAAGUGGUCAGGAGGAUCAUUGGGCCUAAAGCAUCCGUAGCCGGUUCUGUAAGUUUUCGGUUAAAUCCACUAGCUUAACUAAUGGGCUGCCGAAAAUACUGCAGAACUAGGGAGUGGGAGAGGUAGACGGUACUCGGUAGGAAGGGGUAAAAUCCUUUGAUCUAUUGAUGACCACCUGUGGCGAAGGCGGUCUACCAGAACACGUUCGACGGUGAGGGAUGAAAGCUGGGGGAGCAAACCGGAUUAGAUACCCCUGUAGUCCCUGAGCGGGCUGGCAAGGCGCAU
rnacentral:rRNA from 1 species